ACACCAGUCAGACCAAAUUGACAAUAAUACCCCUAACCUUAAGAGUAAUUUACUUUCCACGAAAACCUCAAAAAACCCCCACAUUGUCUUCACUUCCUUUCUUCAAAGUUGCUUAAAUGGCUACUGUUAGUAGUAGCAAUAGCAACAGCACCAUCAUUAACGGCGGGAUAAGUAGCGUAACCCAUGGUCAAUGGAAAGCGAAGGAAGCAAUUGGUCGGAACGCCAGGGCUCUCCAAGCCUUGAGAGAACUUAUCGUUGUCCCUCUUCUCCACUCUCGUGAAGCCCAGAAACUUGGUCUCAAAUGAUCUUGUGGUUUGCUCCUAUAUGGUCCCCCAAGCACUAGGAAGUGGUAGACAAGCUUGGUACGUGCAAUAGUUCGGGAAUCCGAUGCCCAUUUAAUAGUUCUUAGUUAUUUUGCAGCCCAAGCUCUGAUUACAGAGCACAUGCUGCAGAAAGUGAGAAUUUAGCGGGAUGUGUUUUCAGAGGUGACAUCUCAUGCAAGUUCAGGCAGACCUUCAAUUAUUUUCAUUGAUGAAAUAGAUGCACUAUGCCCUCGUCACAAUUCAAGAUGUGAGCAGGAUGUUAGGCUAGCUUCUCAACUCAUUACACUAAUGGAAACCCUCAGCAACUUUUGUACCACGAGUUGUCGUGGGUUGCAUCAACUAAUAGGCUGGAUGCCUAAUGAAGAAGGUCAGAGCGUUUUGAUGAUGAAGUUGAAGUUACCACACCUAAUGAAGAAGAAAGGUUUCAAAUUCUCAAGCUUUAUACAAAAAAGGUUCCUUUGGAUCCUAGUGUUGACUAGCAAGUUGUAGCUGCAUUUUCCAAUGGAUAUGCUGGAGCUGAUGUGGAAGAUCCUAAUAUGCCAGCAUAAUUAAGAGAUAAAUAAUUUUUAAAGAAAAGAUUUAAUUUUAUCGAACAACAUAAUUAAGUUCAGUACUUAAAUUUAUUAAUAUACUACACAACUUUCUAAUAUAAAUUCAGUACUUUCAAUUUAUCAAACAGCACCUUGUCUCCUAAUAGACCUAUGUGAGUACAGAAAGCCUUAUGGUAGCAAUAAACAGCUUCGUUGUCAGACAUGGGUAAAAUCUCAGAGAUAGCGGAUGCUUCCACAAAGAACUUGACGGUAUAGGGUGCUGGUCUAUUCAUAAUUUCUGAAUCAGUGGUGCAGAGCUAUACUGGAUAGAAAGACCGGUUAGCAGCAACAGCAUCAUUUAUGAAGGUUCCAUGUUGUCCCUGACACAAAGCCAUAAUACAAAAAGCCAUUCAACGGGAUUCGAAAUGCCAAGGCUCGAAGACCUCUGGGACAUGGAACAGUACUUUAAUUAAGGCUGUUCGUGCCCCUUUUGACGACCAAGUAACAAUGGCAACAAUGUAUCUUUCUGGGGAUGCGAAGCUGUGGUGGCGGACGCGAUAUGAGGAUGUGCUGGAAGACCGUUGCGAGAUCAACGCCUGGGAGGAACUAAAUAGGAAGCUCAAGGAAAGGAGCAGUUCCUGCCUGAGAACGUUGCAUGGCUCGCACGAGAGCCCCUGAUGCGGACCGGCACUGUUCGAGAAAAUCAAAGCAGACCAUGGGGGACUGACCCGAGCUAUAGAUAAAGGAAGGACUUUGAUAGAUAGAAUAAGGCACUCAGACAUCAAAAAGAGGGCUACUUCACUAUGAAUGGUAACAUAUGAAUUGAAACUAAUGCGACGGGUGUCAAUUACCAAAACGACUCGACCACUAACAAUCAGUGGUUACAUACAAAAAAAUUAAUGGUAUGGUGAUGAUCUUAUAUAACCAGUUUGUUUGGGUAACAUUUGUUCAUUUAUGGAAACUUUUUGUUUUUAAUGAUAUUGGUGAGUUAAAAUUAUUAAAA